GAGUGAAAUGAUGCUUUACCAUCUUUCGGGACUUACCAAAUUAUGGGGAUAUUUUUUUUAUUCUUACUGAUCACUC